rnacentral:rRNA from 1 species
GUCUGGCUCUUGUCUAUGUUUCUUGGAACAGAACGUCACAGAGGGUGAGAAUCCCGUGCGAUGAGAUGAUCCAGGCCUAUGUAAAGUUCCUUCGAAGAGUCGAGUUGUUUGAGGAAUGCAGCUCUAAGUGGGUGGUAAAUUCCAUCUAAAGCUAAAUAUUGGCGAGAGACCGAUAGCGAAGAAGUACUAUGAUGGAAAGAUGAAAAGAACUUUGAAAAGAGAGUGAAAAAGUACGUGAAAUUGUUGAAAGGGAAGGGCUUGAGAUCAGACUUGGUAUUUUGUAUGUUACUUCUUCGGGGGUGGCCUCUACAGUUUAUCGGGCCAGCAUCAGUUUGGGCGGUAGGAAAAUUGCGUUGGAAUGUGGCACGGCUUCGGUUGUGUGUUAUAGCCUUCGUCGAUACUGCCAGCCUAGACUGAGGACUGCGGUUUAACCUAGGAUGUGGCAUAAUGAUCUUAAGUCGCCCCUCUUGAAACACAG